GAGUUUGAUCAUGGCUCAGAUUGAACGCUGGCGGCAUGCCUUACACAUGCAAGUCGAACGGCAGCACGGGAGCUUGCCCCUGGUGGCGAGUGGCGAACGGGUGAGUAAUGCAUCGGAACGUAUCCUGGAGUGGGGGAUAACGUAGCGAAAGUUACGCUAAUACCGCAUAUUCUGUGAGCAGGAAAGCGGGGGGACCUUCGGGGCCUCGCGCUCUUGGAGCGGCCGAUGUCGGAUUAGCUAGUUGGUGAGGUAAAGGCUCACCAAGGCGACGAUCCGUAGCAGGUCUGAGAGGAUGAUCUGCCACACUGGAACUGAGACACGGUCCAGACUCCUACGGGAGGCAGCAGUGGGGAAUUUUGGACAAUGGGGGCAACCCUGAUCCAGCCAUGCCGCGUGAGUGAAGAAGGCC
rnacentral:rRNA from 1 species